rnacentral:tRNA from 1 species
CGCCGUGGGGGCCGGUCGCGCAGUUCCCCGCGCCCCUUCGGGGCGUGAGCCGCUCGCGUGGCGCGGUGCUGUGGCGGAUCGUCUUCGGUUGCGGCGCC